GACAAACGCUGGCGGCGUGCUUAACACAUGCAAGUCGAACGGGGUACAUUUGAGGGGCAACCCUUGAGUGUGCUUAGUGGCGAACGGGUGAGUAACACGUGGGUAACCUACCCUCUAGACCGGGAUAACCCGCCGAAAGGUGGACUAAUACCGGAUGUCGUGUCGAGGUGAGAAUCCUUGACAUGAAAGGAUGGCGCAAGCUAUCGCUUGAGGAUGGGCCCGCGGCUGAUUAGCUAGUUGGUAAGGUAACGGCUUACCAAGGCGACGAUCAGUAGCCGGCCUGAGAGGGUGUACGGCCACACUGGAACUGAGACACGGUCCAGACUCCUACGGGAGGCAGCAGUGGGGAAUCUUCCACAAUGGGCGAAAGCCUGAUGGAGCAACGCCGCGUGAGUGAUGAAGGCCUUCGGGUUGUAAAACUCUGUCUUGUGAGAAUAAGGCUGCAAGGUGAAUAAUCUUGCAGCUUGACUGUAUCACAGGAGGAAGACACGGCUAACUCUGUGCCAGCAGCCGCGGUAAUACAGAGGUGUCUAGCGUUGUCCGGAAUUACUGGGCGUAAAGGGCGCGUAGGUGGGCGUGUAAGUCGGAUGUGAAAUCACCGGGCUUAACCCGGUAACUGCAUCCGAAACUACACGUCUUGAGUGCAGAAGAGGAGAGUGGAAUUCCCAGUGUAGCGGUGAAAUGCGUAGAUAUUGGGAGGAACACCAGUGGCGAAGGCGGCUCUCUGGUCUGCAACUGACACUGAAGCGCGAAAGCUAGGGGAGCAAACGGGAUUAGAUACCCCGGUAGUCCUAGCCGUAAACUAUGAGCACUAGGUGUAGGAGGUAUCGACCCCUUCUGUGCCGCAGCUAACGCAUUAAGUGCUCCGCCUGGGGACUACGGCCGCAAGGCUG
rnacentral:rRNA from 1 species